CUUAUCAAGAGUGACGGAGGGAACGGCCCGAUGAAGUCCGGCAACCUGCUUUUCAGCAAGGUGCCAAUUCCGGCGAAGCAAUCGAGAGAUGAGG
rnacentral:ncRNA from 1 species